rnacentral:rRNA from 1 species
GCAAGUCGAGCGGACAGAAGGGAGCUUGCUCCCGGAUGUUAGCGGCGGACGGGUGAGUAACACGUGGGUAACCUGCCUGUAAGACUGGGAUAACUCCGGGAAACCGGAGCUAAUACCGGAUAGUUCYUUGAACCGCAUGGUUCAAGGAUGAAAGACGGUUUCGGCUGUCACUUACAGAUGGACCCGCGGCGCAUUAGCUAGUUGGUGGGGUAAUGGCUCACCAAGGCGACGAUGCGUAGCCGACCUGAGAGGGUGAUCGGCCACACUGGGACUGAGACACGGCCCAGACUCCUACGGGAGGCAGCAGUAGGGAAUCUUCCGCAAUGGACGAAAGUCUGACGGAGCAACGCCGCGUGAGUGAUGAAGGUUUUCGGAUCGUAAAGCUCUGUUGUUAGGGAAGAACAAGUGCGAGAGUAACUGCUCGCACCUUGACGGUACCUAACCAGAAAGCCACGGCUAACUACGUGCCAGCAGCCGCGGUAAUACGUAGGUGGCAAGCGUUGUCCGGAAUUAUUGGGCGUAAAGGGCUCGCAGGCGGUUUCUUAAGUCUGAUGUGAAAGCCCCCGGCUCAACCGGGGAGGGUCAUUGGAAACUGGGAAACUUGAGUGCAGAAGAGGAGAGUGGAAUUCCACGUGUAGCGGUGAAAUGCGUAGAGAUGUGGAGGAACACCAGUGGCGAAGGCGACUCUCUGGUCUGUAACUGACGCUGAGGAGCGAAAGCGUGGGGAGCGAACAGGAUUAGAUACCCUGGUAGUCCACGCCGUAAACGAUGAGUGCUAAGUGUUAGGGGGUUUCCGCCCCUUAGUGCUGCAGCUAACGCAUUAAGCACUCCGCCUGGGGAGUACGGUCGCAAGACUGAAACUCAAAGGAAUUGACGGGGGCCCGCACAAGCGGUGGAGCAUGUGGUUUAAUUCGAAGCAACGCGAAGAACCUUACCAGGUCUUGACAUCCUCUGACAACCCUAGAGAUAGGGCUUUCCCUUCGGGGACAGAGUGACAGGUGGUGCAUGGUUGUCGUCAGCUCGUGUCGUGAGAUGUUGGGUUAAGUCCCGCAACGAGCGCAACCCUUGAUCUUAGUUGCCAGCAUUUAGUUGGGCACUCUAAGGUGACUGCCGGUGACAAACCGGAGGAA